UGGGGAAUAUUGCACAAUGGGGGAAACCCUGAUGCAGCGACGCCGCGUGGGUGAAGAAGUAAUUCGUUAUGUAAAGCUCUAUCAGCAGGGAAGAAAAUGACGGUACCUGAGUAAGAAGCCCCGGCUAACUACGUGCCAGCAGCCGCGGUAAUACGUAGGGGGCAAGCGUUAUCCGGAUUUACUGGGUGUAAAGGGAGCGUAGACGGCGAUGCAAGUCUGAAGUGAAGGGCGGGGGCCCAACCCCCGGACUGCUUUGGAAACUGUAUAGCUGGAGUGCAGGAGAGGUAAGUGGAAUUCCUAGUGUAGCGGUGAAAUGCGUAGAUAUUAGGAGGAACACCAGUGGCGAAGGCGGCUUACUGGACUGUAACUGACGUUGAGGCUCGAAAGCGUGGGGAGCAAACAGG
rnacentral:rRNA from 1 species